AAAGGGACACAAAUGGAUACAAAUCGCGUACAUAAUAAUUAUGUUAGUCUGAAGCCGAUCGCAAUGGGGCGAUUUACGGGUGCCAGUGAGACGGACCUUCGGAUUUGUUUGUUUUUUACACGUCAUUACACUGAGUACACGCAGUUUUAUGGGAGUGAAAAAUAUGGACGAUUCGUUUGACACUGAGUUCACAGAAAAAGCGUUUUUGUUUGCAUAUUUUAGGGAUAACGGUUCGUUUAGCAUAUUUUGGAUUAUUUUGUAAGUUAUGAGAGAAAAGCAAAUUUAUUGCAACUGUAAACCCUAUUAUUAAUUUCGAUUUUAAGGUACGAACCUGUACAAUUUUUAUUUCAACUAACUUUGGUUUUUUAAAAUUGUUUUUGACAAACUUAAACCAGAUACUGAUAGUAUUAAGUCAUCAUGUCUUCACUAAGUGUAUGGUGGCUAACUUGCUGCUAGUGGUUUUUAUAUUGAUAAGAACGUUGAUUAAUAAACAUUACGUUUAUCAAAUCAUAAAAUAUUUUG